rfam:Ovis aries breed Texel chromosome 14, whole genome shotgun sequence.
UCCCUGACAGUCCAGUGGCUAAGACUCCAUGCUUCUAAUGCUGGGGGUGCAGGUUCAAUCCCUGGUCAGGGAA